rnacentral:rRNA from 1 species
UACGUAGGGGGCUAGCGUUGUCCGGAAUCAUUGGGCGUAAAGAGCGUGUAGGCGGCCCGGUAAGUCCGCUGUGAAAGUCGGGGGCUCAACCCUCGAAUGCCGGUGGAUACUGUCGGGCUAGAGUGCGGAAGAGGCGAGUGGAAUUCCUGGUGUAGCGGUGAAAUGCGUAGAUAUCAGGAGGAAUACCGAUGGCGAAGGCAGGUCUCUGGGCUAUAACUGACGCUCAUGCACGAAAGCGUGGGGAGCAAACAGG